rnacentral:rRNA from 1 species
CUAGUAAGAUCCCUGAAAGAUGAUCAGGUAGAUAGGUUCGAGGUGGAAGCGUGGCGACACGUGGAGCUGACGAAUACUAAUCGAUCGAGGACUUAACCAAAA